CAAAUAAAUUCAAAAAGACAAAAAAGGAAAAAAAAUGUGGGCUUCAUCCACGCUAAGGCUCCCGAACAUAAGACCCACACCUAUCUCGUCCAAUCAAAACCCAUCCGAACCUGACACCAAACCAGUACCACAGGCUCGGAAACUGAAGGGAAGCGCUCGGCUGAACCGGUGGUCGAGGGCUCGCACGAUUCGGUCCGGGCGAAAACUGGACCGGCCGGACCAGCAGGUCGAAGUAUUGGAAGCGAAGCGUCCUCCAGUUGAAGCAACAGAGAGCGAGCUUAACUCCGUUACGAAAAUUGACGGAGACGAUGACGUGGAGUUGAGAGUGGGGAAGUCGAUAUACAUGAUUUCUGACGGAACUGGAUGGACGGCGGAGCAUUCCGUUAACGCCGCGUUGGGUCAGUUCGAACACUGCUUGGUCGAUCGCGGCUGUCCUGUAAAUACCCACUUGUUUUCUGGGAUUGAAGAUGUAGAUCGGUUAAUGGAGAUUGUUAAGCAAGCAGCCAAAGAAGGUGCAAUGGUUGUGUACACUUUAGCUGACCCUUCAAUGGGUGAAUCUGCUAAGCAAGCCUGCCAGUUGUGGGGUAUACCCUCCACAGACAUACUUGGCCCAAUCACAGAGGCAAUUGCUGCUCAUCUAGGAGUCUCACCAUCGGGCCUCCCCCGCGGGGCUCCUGGCAGAACUAUUCCUCUAUCUGAGGAAUACUUCCGUCGGAUCGAAGCAAUUGAAUUUACCAUCAAGCAAGAUGAUGGGGCACUACCUCAAAAUCUGUACAAAGCUGACAUUGUUCUUACUGGUGUAUCUCGUACAGGGAAGACACCAUUAUCAAUCUAUCUGGCUCAGAAAGGGUAUAAAGUGGCAAAUGUCCCUAUUGUAAUGGGUAUAGAACUUCCAAAAACUCUCUUUGAGGUAGACCCAGAGAAGGUUUUUGGUUUGACUAUAAAUCCUGUAAUCUUGCAAGCAAUCAGAAAAGCAAGAGCUAAGAGUCUGGGCUUCAACAUAGAAACAAGGAGUAAUUACUCGGAGAUGGACUAUGUUAGAGAGGAGCUGGAAUUUGCUCGAAGGAAUUUUGCACAAAAUCCCGUCUGGCCAGUAAUUGAAGUGACAGGAAAAGCUAUAGAAGAAACUGCAGCGGUUAUAUUGAGGCUAUACCAUGACAGGAAACACAGGUGCUCAAUGCCAACAAUCUCAAAGCGCUACUAAAGAUGUUACAUUGCUCCCAAGUAGGCAGGGAGAUACUGAUGUUGAAGAGUGGAGUUCAUCUCAUAUUGCACUGCAGGGCAUAAGGACAUUCUAAAUGGAACUUUUUGGUCAUUUACGGAUUGAUGUCCAGAAAAUUAAUGCUUCUAAAGUCUGUGGUGAGGCAAUUCUUUCUAUGGAGGGGCAGACCGGGGUAGGAUUUUCUGCAAACCUCAACUAAGCAACACAAGGAGCUUGAAGAAAUAUAGUAUAUAUAAAUAGAAGAAUAUACUUUGUAUUAUUUGCUGUCAAACCACCUGAACAUAGCUCACGUUGGGGUCUUUUUUCCACUUUUGGGGUAUUGCUGAUCAGUAAUUUGGGUGUGUUUUCUAAAAAAAAAAAAAAUCUCAGGGUAAAAGUUCUUCAAGUAAAUAGGCAAAAAUUUAAGAAUAGUUUUGCAUGUCCUAUACUUUGAGUUCCCCAAUUAAAAUUAACUAUGUGGUUGUGUUGGCUAAUUACAAAACAACCAUUGUUAUUUCCUCUAAUGACAACUAGAUUCAGCCAUACGGGAAUUAGCCACAAGGUUGGAUUUAAUUGGAGAAUCUAAAUUACUGCAUAUCUGAGCCUAAGAAAUUGCACCUAGUUUUGCUUAUAGUGGAUAGAGUUGUGACUAAUUACUCUUAGGGUUUAGACAGGAUGGGGUUCAUGCUGUGGCCAUUACUUGCAAAACUUUUCCAUGUCAUAUCAUACCAAGUGAAACUUAGUUCUGGAAUAUGCCCACUGACAGAUGCCUGCUUUUAGCUAAUAAAACUGUUGUUGCGGCUAUUUUAUUGUAUUUAUAUUGCAUUCAUCAUUGUAUGUUGAUUUUUGCUUACAUCUUGACGCAAAAAUCAUUGCGUGUUGAUUUUUGAACACGUGUUACCAUGUCUGUCAAAGCAUUUUGCUCCUGCUGUGUACUAACCACUAAAAUUAAAUUUUUUAAUGUUCAGAAGCACUACUUCAUUCUGCCCCCAAGACUUAAAAAUUAGUCACAAACCAUACAAUAAAUUGGGAAAAUUAUUGAGCCUCCUCAGUCCACACCACAUCUACCUAAAUUUUAGUCUAUUCAAUGCUAGACAAAGGCCUGGCUUCACUAGCACACUUUCGAAAAAAGAAAAGAAAAAAAAGAGAGUUUAAGUGCGCAUGCGUGCUGGCACAUACAGAAACGAUUUCAUCUCUUAUAUAUAUAUAUAUAUAUAUAUAUAUAUGUAACUGUUAUUUCACUUUUUGUACCUUUGCCUACUCACAUGGAAGCCACGUACAACACAAAGGGUCUAUUCAAAACUAAGGAGAGCCGAAAGGGCAAACAGAAUGGAAGGUAUGGGCAAGAAAGUGAACAAAAAGUAAACUUUCUGAUUCUCCACUAAGCCGUGCAGCGAAAUAGUAAUGACAAAGCAAAAACAAGUAUUUUUUGAUCUCUGCCAUUUCCGUAUUGAAAAGAAGAUUCUUUGUCUUUGUCAGAAUGCAGUAUGUCAUUGUCUCCAUCUGUAAAUUUUUUAUGGCCCGGAGAAAAGCUCCAGAAUUAUCAACUUGGAGGCCAUGUUAAUUGAAAGUUGGUUAACUUUUGUGUAUCCUCUAUUUUUUCUUCUGUAUCCU